rnacentral:tRNA from 1 species
UAGCUCAGUCGGUAGAGCGCAAGGCUCUUAAUAGAGAGCAAUCCUGGGCAACCAGAGACAGUGUCACCUUGUGGUCGUGGGUUCGAGCCCCAC